CGGGUGAGUAAUGUAUGGGGAUCUGCCUGAUGGGGGGGGAUAACUACUGGAAACGGUAGCUAAUACCGCAUAAUGUCUACGGACCAAAGCGGGGACCUCGGGCCUCUUGCCAUCGGAUGUGCCCAGAUGGGAUUAGCUAGUAGGUGGGGUAACGGCUCACCUAGGCGACGAUCCCUAGCUGGUCUGAGAGGAUGACCAGCCACACUGGAACUGAGACACGGUCCAG
rnacentral:rRNA from 1 species